ACCUCUUUACAUAACUCCCCAAUGAUAUAAAAUCUCUGCAUCUUUCCCUCUAAUGUUAUUAGCUCUGCCCAGAUCCCCCUAUUUAAUCCAAAUUCGAAAUCAAGAUUAGAGGAUGUAACUCCCGUUUUUAUAAUAGUGAUUGUCCAAUUAAAAAAUCUGAUACAACCCGACCCGACCAGACCCAACUGAAACUAAAAAGGUGAAAUCAAUUUGGGGACACAGACACAGAGAUGACGACGAAGAAAAUUGGAGAGGGAGAGACUGAGACGCAGUCAGAGAGAGAGAGAGAGACGAAGUAGAGAUGGCCAGAGAGAGAGAGAGAGUGACGAAGCAGAGAUGGCGAGAGUGAUAAAGAGUCAUGAAGCAGUGACGAUGUCGAGGGAGAGAGAGAGAGUAUGGCGGAUCUUCAAGGAGAUCUUGUUACCAGGGAUGAAAGAGAUGAUAUUGAAAUUGCUGAUCCUAUGGUUGAAACAGAGAAUAGAGACUUAGAAGCAGGUUAUGGGACAUAGUAUGAAUCUAGAAAAUAAAGUAAAAUGGAUUAAGAUUGAGAUACGCUACUAGGUCGACAUGAGUUUGAGAAGAAGAAGAAGCUUGGAAGGGCUGGUCGCACAAAUCCAUCUCUCUUCUUGCGGUGACAGGAUGUAAAAUACAUUUACACAACCAACACAAAACACUCAAGACUAGUUUUGUUUCAGAUUAUGUACUUAUGAUUUUAAAAUUAGUGUUUCGACUUUUGACUCAUGUAUGGAAUCUUGUGUGAUAAUAUAAGACGUGCUUCUCUUUUUUAGACAUU